CGCGUUUCGCCGUAGAGGCUUUAUCAAAUUGGAAUAGUAUUAGUACCUGGCACAUAAGGAGUAUAUAUAGCUUAUACAUACAUUCAAAAUUGGCGCCAAAAAACAAUCACCAAUCAGGGCGGUACAAAAUAUAAAUAGAGAAUACAUAAACAAAAGAUAGAAAAUAAUAUACAGCAUUAAUAUAUUGAGACAUAUAAUGGUAUUAGUGUAAAUGUCAUGUAAAAACGAGGGUUAUUUAAUGUAAAAUUUAUGUAAACUAAAAAUAAAUAAUUCGUUAUUCUAUCACAGUGAGUGCCUGAAAUUUUUUUCUUUUAUACUAGGAGACACUGAGACACUACGGGCAGAGAGACAUGGGGCACUGAGAGACAUGGGGCACUGAGACACUCUGAUACAUAGGGGACACUGAUACAUAGGGGAUAUUUGAGACUUGAUAAAGACCUGGGUACAGGUCGAAAUGUUGCAGUGUCCAAUAAACCUACCUAAAUCUAUCACUGUGAGUGCCUGAGAUUUUUUCUUUUAUACUAGGGGACACUGAGACACUUGGAGACAUGGGGACACUGGGAGACAUUGGGAGACUAGGGGACUUUGGGAGACUAGGAAACACUGAGACACUAGGGACACUGGCACACUACAGACACUGAGAGACACCAGGGACACAUGGGGAUACUGAGAUACUAUGGACACUGGCUGGGAGACAUGGGGACACUGGGAGUGCCCCAUGUUUCCUAGGUCUCAAAGUCUCCCAGUGUCCCCAUGUCUCCCUGUGUGCCCCAGUGUCUCCAUGUCUCCCAGUGUCCCUUAGAGUCUGUGUCCCCAUGUCACUAAGACACUAGGGGACACUUAGAGACAUAGUUACAUAGUUACAUAGCUGAAAAGAGACUUGCGUCCAUCAAGUUCAGCCUUCUUCACAUUUGUUUUUUGCUGUUGAUCCAAAAGAAGGCAAAAAAAAAAACAGUUUAAAGCACAAUUUUGCAACAAGCUAGGAAAAAAAAUCCUUCUUGACCCCAGAAUGGCAGUCAGAUUUAUCCUUGGAUCAAGCAGUUAUUACCCUACAUUGAAAGAUUAUAUCCUUGAAUAUAGGGGACACUGGAGACAUGGGGCCACUAAAACACUAGGGACAGUGGCUGGGAGACAUGGGGACACAGACUAGGGGCCACUGGGAGACAUUGGGCCACUGUGUCCCUAGUGUCUCAGGAUCCCCAUGUUCCCCAGUGUCCCAAUGUCUCAGUUUCCUCAUAUCUCGGAGCUGCUGUCUGGACUCUCAGUGAAUAGAGAGAGGCAGGGAGGGAGAUGCUGUAACUUAUCACUGCCUCUCUCCACACAA